CGUGAAUUAUCGCGAGAGUAGCUUCUGGCCAGUAAGUGUCAGCGGCGUUUCGUGGUUGAGCGGGGUUUGUGACGGUGGUUUAGGAGCCUUCUCUUCUGCGCGGGAGGGGAGCUCUGACUCGCAGCCGGACCCCGCCUUCUCGCUGACGAGGCCUCGUUCCCCAGGUCAGGCCUGACCUGCUCAAGCCCAGAGAGCUGUAAGAAGUUGGAUAUAGAAGUUCUUCCUUGAUCAGCAGCUUCCUAUGACACAUCUGUGAUUUCCUGGUUCUACCUCAUAUCCUGUAAUCAUGGACUUGUUAAUGUGACCUUCCAAGCCCCUAACAAAUCAACUGGCCAGUCAUCUCAUUUCUCUUGGAGAUAGAUUAGUUCCUCUGGAUAUGCCGCUGUACAUUACUUCGGGAUUGCUCGUGCACUUCGUGUUCUUCGCCUCCAUCUUCAACAUGUGUUUCACCUCUCCUUUGGUUCAUGGGAUGACGCCUCAGUUUACACCCCUGCCUCCCCCAGCAAAACAAUUAGUGCUGUUUGUCGCUGAUGGCCUGCGAGCACAUAAACUUUAUGGAUUAGAUGAAGAUGGAAAUUCUAGGGCACCAUUUGUUAGCAAAGAUGAGCUUCUCUGACCGCGCCUGUCUCUCCCUGCGGUGUUGUGUGGAGGGCCAAGGGCUCCCCGGUGAUGCGCCAUGUGUUGUCUGCCAUUCUAGCUGCUUCUGAAGCCUUUUUUGGAAUGUCGUAAUGAACGAAGGCAGCUGGGGCAUCUCUCACACGUGUGUGCCGACCGAGUCUCGGCCCGGGCCGUGGCCAUGAUUGCAGGGUUUUAUGAAGAUGUCAGCGCAGUUGCCAAAGGUGACCUUGGAAACCAUAUUUUUGCACACACUUAACGAUGCAUCCAGUGAGGAUUUUCGUGCCCACGAUGUAACAAAACUGGACACGUGGGUUUUUGAUCAUGUGAAGGAAUUCUUUCAUGCUGCCAGAAACAACCACUCUUUGUUUUCUAAAGUAAAUGAAGACAAAAUAGUUUUCUUCUUACAUUUAUUAGGAAUAGACAGAUCGACCAUCAUCAAGGCUCCCAUGGAGCCGGUCAUCCUUUAGAGACUUGUACUCCUUUUAUCGCUCGGGGAGCUGGAAUCAGGCUUCCCCAAAAAGCGUCAGCUCAGAAAUUUGAUGACUCAUAUUUGCAAGAAUGAAAGUUGGAGAACUGGAAGAGACAAGAUAAUAAUCAGGCUGAAUUUGCACCAUUGAUGGCAGCUCUUAUUGGAGUUCCCUUCCCUCUUAAUUCAGUGGGAAUCAUUCCUGUGGACAUGCUUAAUACCUCUGAUCUCUUCAAAGUAGGGAGCAUGUUUACAAAUGCAGUACAGAUUCUUGAACAGUUCAAGGUAAAAAUGACUCAGAAAAAAGAAGCUACUUUAUCAUUUUUGUUUACACCAUUUAAUGAGGUACUGUCAAGACAGACUGUUAAAUGAACCACUGACCAUCCACCCUUGCCAGGCAACAGAAAAGAGAAAACACUUGCAGGAGUCAUGUUACAACAGGAGGUCCUGGUAAGGAACAAGGAACUAACAAACUACCACCAACCAGGAUUCUGGAGAGGUCAAAAAGAGAUGGGAGACUCCAGUCCAGAGGUCCUACCAGCUUCCCAGGAUCCUCCUUGCUGGAAUCCAUCUCAGCUGAGUGAUGCAUGUGCCCCCAGGAAGGAUCCCAAUUCAGAAUGACUGGCAAGAGACAAACCAGAAACUAACCCAAUGACCAUAAAACCUGAGACUGUGAGCCACGUGGCAGAGAAGUUCUCUCCGUUUCCCUCACCCUCCUGCCCUCCGCCCUGGCAGCCCUUCCCAAUAAAGUCUCUCGCUUGGACAACACUCCUCUCCUAGGACAAUUCACUUCCAAGUGUCAGACAGGAACCCACUCUCAAGCCCUGGAAGGGAUCCCCCUUCCUUCAUCAAAACCACAAUCCAGGAGAAAACAUCUUCAAAAUGUUAUCUUGUAGAGAAGGAAAUGGCACCCCCUCCAGUAUUCUGGCCUCAGAAAUCCCAGGGACAGAGGAGCUUGGUGGACUACAGUCCAACAGCAGGGCAUUUCUGAGGGGAGCAAACAGUCCCAGGGAAGUUGAGAUGCUCACCAAAGGCCCCAGAGCUUUUGAUGGCACAGCCAGAACUAUAGCUGAGGACUCCCAGCUGCCAGGCCUCUUGAUGCUGGCCUCUCUCACCAGGUACAUGUGUGGAGAACUAGAAUCAAAAAUAUGCCUGAGUGCUUCCCUGGUGGCUCCGUGGUAAAGAAUCUGCCUGCCAGUGCUGGAGAUGCAGGUGUGAUCCCUGGGAUGGGAAGAUCCCACAUGCUAUGGAGUCCGUGUGCCACAACUGCUGAGCCUGUGUGCUAGAUCCUGGAAGCCCCAACGCCGAGCUGACACACUGCAACUACUGAAGCCCGUGAGCCUGUGCCCCACAGUGUGAGGAGCCACUGCAGUGAGAAGCCCGCACACCACUAGUUAUGGCCCACGCUCACCCAAACUAGGGGAGAGCCCACGCACGAAGACCAACACAGCCAAAAAUAAAUACGAUCGUUUUCCUAAAAAAUGCGUAUCUGGCAAAGAAUCUGUACUCAAAUUGUCCAAGAACGCUAGAGCAAACAAGUCCAUUCAUAACUGGUAAAGAUUGAAAUAGACACCUGGCCACGGAGGGUAUACUGAUAGUAAACUCUCCUACAGAAACAUACUCAAGAUACUGGUGGAAUGCAUGCACAGCCCCCUUUGGAAGACAGUCUGACAGUUUUUUCAGUAACCACAUGGGACAAGCACUGAAUUCUAUACCUGACAAGUGGUGGAAGCCAGGUAUCUUACCAUUGGAAUGGAAAGUUACGGAUAAACAAAAGGAAAGGUUACAAGAUCCAUGGAGACAUCAUCACAAAUUACCUUCAACUGAAUAUGUAAGCUGGAAUACAUGUAUAUAUUUCCAAAUAUGGUCAGCUGAGCAUAUUUAGCUCCUACAUGUAUGUUUUAAAUAUCAUUCUCUAAUGAAAAGGAACAGGAAAUGUCCCUGGUGGUCCAGUGGUAAAGGAUCUGCCUACCAAUGCAGGGAACACAGGUUCAAUCCCUGGUCCUAGAAGAUUCCACAUGCCCAGGGGCAACUAAGCCCCCAUACAACUAUUGAAGUACUUGCAUGCUCCAGAGCCCAAGUUCUGCAACCAGAGAAAGCGCUGCAAUGAGAAGCCAUGGCAAGGCAACUAGAGGGUAGCCUCUGCUCACUACAACUAGGCAUCUAGCUACAAAGACCCAGCAUCGUCAAAAAUAAUUCAGUGUUUAAAAAAAAAAGGACAGAAAUUCUUUGAAUAAAUGACUGAGACUAGGGGCGAGACAGUAAAUAUAUAAGCCAGGAUAAUCUUAAAGUAUGAGAAAGUAAAGAAAGUAAAGACAACUAUCAAGCUGUCCAAACUGAUAAAAAUGAAUGAUUACAGUUUUAUCUGUAUACACUAGCAAAUAAUAAUCUGAAAAGGAAUUUAAAAAAACAAUUCCCUUUUGAUAAUGUCAACAUUAAUAAAAUACUUUGCCAUGGAUGUAAUGAGGAUGACAAGACUGGCACACUGGAACUUAUACACGAUUGCUGAAAAAUAUCCUGAAUACAUGUACAGAUAUUCCAUAGCGAUGGAAAGACUUAAGAUGGCAAUACCAUGGAAUGCAUCUUCAAUCUGAAAUGAAGAUUCAAUAUGAAUUACAAAAGACUGAAAGGUCGUUGUUGAACCACAAAAGGCACCAGGAUUCUUGGCCUCCAGAGGAGAAGAAUUCAAUCCAGGGCCAGUUGAUGCAGCUUGAUUGCUCAGAGCUUUUGUGUCAUAAAGUUUUAUUAAAGUAUAAAAGAGAUAGAGAAAGCUGCUGACAUUGACAUCAGAUGGGGGCAGUAAGAGUACCCCCUGCUAGUCUUUAGGCAGGUGUUAUACAGCCACUAGCAGUCUGAUAAUGAAAGAAAGGCAAUGUCUCAGAGAAUGGCACCAGGCCCCUCACCCACAACAUGCAUUGAGAUAACAUUGGCAGCAGGUGAGUCAUCCCGGGCCAUAGAAUGAUUGACAUGAAUCUUGAAGAAAGGCAGAUUUCCAAGCAAAUAUAUCAUUUCAUUAACAUAGAUUAGGAGAACAGGUAUGAGUAAAACAUACUGGUUUGUCAAGUCGGUUCUGAGCCUUUAGGGGGAACCGACCUGAAGACAGAGUCUAGCAGAAAUACAUAGUAUAUUAACAUACCUUAAGACAAACCUUUCCUUAAGACAAAAUGUAUUGCUUAGCUGAAGGUUUGAGAAAAGUUAAGUUCAGGUGGAGCCAGGAGUCCUCAUAGCAACACAGAAUUUUAAGAGAAACCUCUUAAAUUUGUAUUGAGAAGGGGGAAAAAUGUAACACUAGUUUGUUUCCUCCAGCUGCUUGAGAGAUGAAAAAAUGUCUGACACUUGCAGCCUAUUCCCUCUGUCUGGAGACCCCUGGCCUUCCUGCCUGUUACCCUCUUGAGGCCUUUAGGAAGCAAUACACAAGCUGACCCUAACAUACACAUGGAAUGACAAGGGACUCCAAAGAGUCAAAACAGUCACAUGAGUCUGCAGUUCAAAGGUCCUCUGGUAUGCCGUGCUAAGUCACUUCAGUCACGUCUGACUGUCAGAGCCUGCCAGGCUCCUCUGUCCAUGGGAAUUUUCCAGGCAAGAAUACUGGAGUGGGUUGCCGUGCCCUCCUCCAGGGGAUCUUCCCAACCCAGGGAUAGGAUUCCUGCAUUGGCAGGUAGGUUCUUUACCACUAGCACCACCUGGGGCAAAAGUGCCUAAAGGAGAUCAGGGAAACCCAGUUAGGAGAAGGGACUCAGGGCUUCCCUGGUGGCUCAGUGGAAAGAGUCUGUCUGUCAGUGCCAGAGGAGAAGGGACUCAGAGGAAAGACAGUGAGGGAAGGAGACUCUUAGUCACACUCAGAGAAGCCCAGCAGGUAGUUCUGCAGGUGGAAGAGGAGGAGGAAGCAGGCUGGAGCUGUGUAGAGGAUGAAAGAGGGAACUAAAGCAGGGGCCCCCAACCUCUAGGAUCUAAUGCCUGAUGAUCUGAGGUGGAGCUGGUGAAAUAAUAAUAGAAAUAAGAGUUCGAUCACUCAGCUGUGUCCAGCCCUUUGUAGCCCACCAGACUCCUCAGUCCAU